rnacentral:rRNA from 1 species
AGAGUUUGAUCCUGGCUCAGAUUGAACGCUGGCGGCAUGCCUAACACAUGCAAGUCGAACGGCAGCACAGCAGCAGCAAUACUGUGGGUGGCGAGUGGCGGACGGGUGAGUAAUGCAUCGGGACCUGCCCAGACGUGGGGGAUAACGUAGGGAAACUUACGCUAAUACCGCAUACGUCCUACGGGAGAAAGCGGGGGAUCGAAAGACCUCGCGCGGUUGGAUGGACCGAUGUUCGAUUAGCUUGUUGGCGGGGUAAUGGCCCACCAAGGCGACGAUCGAUAGCUGGUCUGAGAGGAUGAUCAGCCACACUGGGACUGAGACACGGCCCAGACUCCUACGGGAGGCAGCAGUGGGGAAUAUUGGACAAUGGGCGCAAGCCUGAUCCAGCAAUGCCGCGUGUGUGAAGAAGGCCUUCGGGUUGUAAAGCACUUUUAUCAGGAACGAAACACUGUCGGCUAAUACCCGGCGGGACUGACGGUACCUGAGGAAUAAGCACCGGCUAACUUCGUGCCAGCAGCCGCGGUAAUAC